UCUACGGGAGGCUGCAGUGAGGAAUAUUGGUCAAUGGGCGCGAGCCUGAACCAGCCAAGUAGCGUGAAGGAUGACUGCCCUACGGGUUGUAAACUUCUUUUAUAAAGGAAUAAAGUGAGGCACGUGUGCCUUUUUGUAUGUACUUUAUUAAUAAGGAUCGGCUAACUCCGUGCCCGCAGCCGCGGUAAUCCGGAGGAUCCUAGCGUUAUCCGGAUUUAUUGGGUUUAAAGGGAGCGUAGAUGGGUUGUUCAGUCAGUUGUGAAAGUUUGCGGCUCAACCGUAAAAUUGCAAUUGAUACUGGAAGUCGUGAGUACAGUUGAGGUAGGCGGAAUUCGUGGUGUAGCGGUGAAAUGCUUAGAUAUCACGAAGAACUCCGAUUGCGAAGGCAGCUGACUAAACUGCCACUGACAUUGAUGCUCGAAAGUGUGGGUAUCAAACAGGAUUAGAUACCCGGGUAGUC
rnacentral:rRNA from 1 species